GAUGAACGCUGGCGGCGUGCCUAAUACAUGCAAGUCGAGCGAACGGACGAGAAGCUUGCUUCUCUGAUGUUAGCGGCGGACGGGUGAGUAACACGUGGAUAACCUACCUAUAAGACUGGGAUAGCUUCGGGAAACCGGAGCUAAUACCGGAUAAUAUUUUGAACCGCAUGGUUCAAAAGUGAAAGACGGUCUUGCUGUCACUUAUAGAUGGAUCCGCGCUGCAUUAGCUAGUUGGUAAGGUAACGGCUUACCAAGGCAACGAUGCAUAGCCGACCUGAGAGGGUGAUCGGCCACACUGGAACUGAGACACGGUCCAGACUCCUACGGGAGGCAGCAGUAGGGAAUCUUCCGCAAUGGGCGAAAGCCUGACGGAGCAACGCCGCGUGAGUGAUGAAGGUCUUCGGAUCGUAAAACUCUGUUAUUAGGGAAGAACAUAUGUGUAAGUAACUGUGCACAUCUUGACGGUACCAAAUCAGAAAGCCACGGCUAACUACGUG
rnacentral:rRNA from 1 species